UACGGAGGGGGCUAGCGUUGUUCGGAAUUACUGGGCGUAAAGCGCACGUAGGCGGCUUUGUAAGUUAGAGGUGAAAGCCCGGAGCUCAACCCCGGAACUGCCUUUAAGACUGCAUCGCUUGAACGUCGGAGAGGUAAGUGGAAUUCCGAGUGUAGAGGUGAAAUUCGUAGAUAUUCGGAAGAACACCAGUGGCGAAGGCGACUUACUGGACGACUGUUAACGCUGAGGUGCGAAAGCCAGGGGAGCGAACAGG
rnacentral:rRNA from 1 species